rnacentral:rRNA from 1 species
CCCAACGAGAUCGGGAUAACACCUGGAAACAGAUGCUAAUACCGGAUAACAACAGAUGAUGCCUAUCAACUGUUUAAAAGAUGGUUCUGCUAUCACUCUUGGAUGGACCUGCGGUGCAUUAGCUAGUUGGUAGGGUAACGGCCUACCAAGGCGAUGAUGCAUAGCCGAGUUGAGAGACUGAUCGGCCACAUUGGGACUGAGACACGGCCCAAACUCCUACGGGAGGCAGCAGUA